GGGGUUGUGGCUCAGCGGUAGAGCACAUGCCUUGCACGUGUGAGGCACUGGGUUCCAUCCUCAACACCA
rnacentral:tRNA from 1 species